rnacentral:rRNA from 1 species
CCUACGGGAGGCAGCAGUAGGGAAUCUUCCACAAUGGGCGAAAGCCUGAUGGAGCAACGCCGCGUGGGUGAAGAAGGUCUUCGGAUCGUAAAACCCUGUUGUUAGAGAAGAAAGUGCGGGAGAGUAACUGUUCACGUGUCGACGGUAUCUAACCAGAAAGCCACGGCUAACUCCGUGCCAGCAGCCGCGGUAAUACGUAGGUGGCAAGCGUUAUCCGGAUUGAUUGGGCGUAAAGGGAACGCAGGCGGUCUGUUAAGUCUGAUGUGAAAGCCUUCGGCUUACCCGGAGUAGUGCAUCGGAAACUGGGAGCCUUGAGUGCAGCAGAGGUGAGUGGAACUCCAUGUGUCGCGGU